rnacentral:rRNA from 1 species
GGUCCUACGGGGGGCAGCAGUGGGGGAUAUUGCACAAUGGGGGGAACCCUGAUGCAGCGACGCCGCGUGGGUGAAGAAGUAUUUCGGUAUGUAAAGCCCUAUCGGCAGGGAAGAAUUUAGACGGUACCUGACUAAGAAGCCCCGGCUAACUACGUGCCAGCAGCCGCGGUAAUACGUAGGGGGCAAGCGUUAUCCGGAUUCACUGGGUGUAAAGGGAGCGUAGACGGCCAUGCAAGCCUGGGGUGAAAGCCCGGGGCCCAACCCCGGGACUGCUCUGG